rnacentral:rRNA from 1 species
CAGUCGCCACGGUAAUACAGAGGGUGCAAGCGUUAAUCGGAAUUACUGGGCGUAAAGCGCGCGUAGGUGGUUUGUUAAGUUGGAUGUGAAAGCCCCGGGCUCAACCUGGGAACUGCAUCCAAAACUGGCAAGCUAGAGUACGGUAGAGGGUGGUGGAAUUUCCUGUGUAGCGGUGAAAUGCGUAGAUAUAGGAAGGAACACCAGUGGCGAAGGCGACCACCUGGACUGAUACUGACACUGAGGUGCGAAAGCGUGGGGAGCAAACAGGAUUAGAUACCCGAGUAGCCCUGUCUCUUAUACA